UAAGUAGGGUGCAGGCGUGAAUCGGAAUUACUGGGCGUAAAGCGUGCGCAGGCUGCUCCUUAAGGCAGAUGUGAAAGCCCCGGGCUUAACCCGGGAACUGCGUUUGAAACUGGGGGGCUAGAGUGUGGAAGAGGGGGGUGGAAUUCCAGGUGUAGCAGUGAAAUGCGUAGAGAUCUGGAGGAACACCGAUGGCGAAGGCAGCCCCCUGGGCUAACACUGACGCUCAUGCACGAAAGCGUGGGGAGCAAACAGG
rnacentral:rRNA from 1 species